UUUGAUCCUGGCUCCUUCGAAAGCUGGCGGAGGCUUAACACAUGCAAGUCUAACGGGCCUUCCGGAUAGUGCGGACGGGUGAGUAACACAUAGGAACGUACCCUUAUGUUCGGAACCGCAAAAGGAAACUUGAGCUAAUAUCAGAUAAGCCCUUCGGGGGAAAGAUUUAUCGACUUUGGAGCGGCCCACGUCUGAUUACCUUGUUGGUGAGGUAAUGGCUCACCAUUGCUACUAUCAGUAGCUGGUCUGANAGGAUGGCCAGCCCCGCUGGCACUGAGACACGGGCCAAACUCCUACAGGAGGCAGCCUGGGGAAUCUUGCGCAACGGGCGAAAGCCUGACGCAGCCCUGCCGUGUGCAUGAUGAAGGUCUUAGGAUUGUACACGCCUUCCACCGGGCAGCAUAAUGACAAGACUCGGAGAA
rnacentral:rRNA from 1 species